AACGCUAGCUACAGGCUUAACACAUGCAAGUCGAGGGGAAACGACAUCGAAAGCUUGCUUUUGAUGGGCGUCGACCGGCGCACGGGUGAGUAACGCGUAUCCAACCUGCCCACCACUUGGGGAUAACCUUGCGAAAGUAAGACUAAUACCCAAUGACGUCUCUAGAAGACAUCUGAAAGAGAUUAAAGAUUUAUCGGUGAUGGAUGGGGAUGCGUCUGAUUAGCUUGUUGGCGGGGUAACGGCCCACCAAGGCGACGAUCAGUAGGGGUUCUGAGAGGAAGGUCCCCCACAUUGGAACUGAGACACGGUCCAAACUCCUACGGGAGGCAGCAGUGAGGAAUAUUGGUCAAUGGGCGAGAGCCUGAACCAGCCAAGUAGCGUGCAGGAUGACGGCCCUAUGGGUUGUAAACUGCUUUUAUAAGGGAAUAAAGUGAGUCUCGUGAGACUUUUUGCAUGUACCUUAUGAAUAAGGACCGGCUAAUUCCGUGCCAGCAGCCGCGGUAAUACGGAAGGUCCGGGCGUUAUCCGGAUUUAUUGGGUUUAAAGGGAGCGUGGGCCGGAGAUUAAGCGUGUUGUGAAAUGUAGAUGCUCAACAUCUGCACUGCAGCGCGAACUGGUUUCCUUGAGUACGCACAAAGUGGGCGGAAUUCGUGGUGUAGCGGUGAAAUGCUUAGAUAUCACGAAGAACUCCGAUUG
rnacentral:rRNA from 1 species